GACGAACGCUGGCGGCGUGCUUAACACAUGCAAGUCAAGGGGACCCGCAAGGGUAACCGGCGAACGGGUGCGUAACACGUGAGCAACCUGCCUCAGUGUGGGGGAGUAGCCGGCCCAACCGGCCGGGUAAGUACCGCAUACGCUCACCGAGUGGCAUCACUUGGUGAAGAAACUUACCGAGGCACUGAGAGGGGCGUCGCGGCCUAUCAGCUUGUUGGUGGGGUAAUGGCCUACCAAGGCUACGACGGGUAGCUGGUCUGAGAGGAUGGCCAGCCACAUUGGGACUGAGAUACGGCCCAGACUCCUACGGGAGGCAGCAGUGGGGAAUAUUGCGCAAUGGGCGAAAGCCUGACGCAGCGACGCCGCGUGGGGAUGAAGCAUUUCGGUGUGUAAACCCCUGUUGCUCGGGACGAAAAAGCGAUUUUGUAUCGCUCUGACGGUACCGAGUGAGGAGCACCGGCUAACUCCGUGCAGCCGCCGCGGUAAU
rnacentral:rRNA from 1 species